rnacentral:rRNA from 1 species
UAGGGAAUUUUCCACAAUGGACGAAAGUCUGAUGGAGCAACGCCGCGUGAACGAUGAAGGUCUUCGGAUUGUAAAGUUCUGUUGUUAGGGACGAACAAGUACCGUUCGAAUAGGGCGGUACCUUGACGGUACCUGACGAGAAAGCCACGGCUAACUACGUGCCAGCAGCCGCGGUAAUACGUAGGUGGCAAGCGUUGUCCGGAUUUAUUGGGCGUAAAGCGCGCGCAGGCGGCUAUGUAAGUCUGGUGUUAAAGCCCGGAGCUCAACUCCGGUUCGCAUCGGAAACUGUGUAGCUUGAGUGCAGAAGAGGAAAGCGGUAUUCCACGUGUAGCGGUGAAAUGCGUAGAGAUGUGGAGGAACACCAGUGGCGAAGGCGGCUUUCUGGUCUGUAACUGACGCUGAGGCGCGAAAGCGUGGGGAGCAAACA